AAUAGAUACCCCGGUAGUCCACGCCGUAAACGAUGGAUGCUAGCUAUUGGGGGGAAUCGACCCCCUCCGAAGCGAAGCUAACGCGUUAAGCAUCCCGCCUGAGUAGUACGAGCGCAAGCUUAAAACUCAAAGGAAUUGACGGGGACCCGCACAAGCGGUGGAGCGUGUGGUUUAAUUCGAUGGUAAACGAAGAACCUUACCAAGGUUUGACAUCCCGGUAGCCGUUCUCCGAAAGGAGAAUUUCAUUUAGUUGGACCGGUGACAGGUGAUGCAUGGCCGUCGUCAGCUCGUGUCGUGAGAUGUUGGGUUAAGUCCCGCAACGAGCGCAACCCUUAUGAUUUAGUUGGAUUUUUCUAAACAGACUGCCCUGGUAACGGGGAGGAAGGAGGGGAUGAUGUCAGGUCAGUAUUUCCCUUACACCUUGGGCGACACACGCGCUACAAUGGCCGGUACAAUGGGCAGCUAAGCCGCGAGGUGGAGCAAAUCCCAUCAAAGCCGGUCCCAGUUCGGAUUGCAGGCUGAAACCCGCCUGCAUGAAGCCGGAAUCGCUAGUAACCAGCG
rnacentral:rRNA from 1 species